AUUGAACGCUGGCGGCAGGCUUAACACAUGCAAGUCGAACGAGUGGCGGACGGGUGAGUAAUGCCUGGGAAUCUAGCUUAUGGAGGGGGAUAACUACGGGAAACUGUAGCUAAUACCGCGUACCAUAGGAUGAGCCCAAAUGGGAUUGGGUAGUCGGUGAGGUACAGGCUCACCAAGCCGACGAGCCCUAGCUGGUCUGAGAGGAUGACCAGCCACACAGGGACUGAGACACGGCCCAGACUCCUACGGGAGGAAGCAGUGGGGAAUAUCGCGCAAUGGGGGCAACCUGUCGCAGCCAGGCCGCGGGAAUGAAGAAGGCCUUCGGGUUGUAAAGUUCUUCCGGUAGCGAGGCGUUAACUACAGAAGAAGCACCGGCUAACUCCGUGCCAGCAGCCGCGGUAAUUC
rnacentral:rRNA from 1 species